CGUUCAAAUUUACAGGGUGAUUGUUCUUGGAGAAGAAAGAUCAACAUCAAAGAGAACUGUUCCAAACUGAUCCUGAGCGGAUACCGGUAGAGACCAGGUACUUACGUGGCUUAGAAAGAACCUACUCUCUUUCAGAUCCAGAUUUGAAGAAAAAAAUUAUGAAAUAAUUAUAUGAUUCGAUCACAUAUUUAACUUCAACAUAAAAUUUAGCAUGUAUUCAAUUUCAGCAUAUGUAGAUCUAUGUGUUCUU
rnacentral:lncRNA from 1 species